UAGCUUCAUGAACUGAAUUUGGAAGUGUCUGUCCUCUUCUAUAUGACUGCCUUCACUACAGAUGCCAACUGCAAUGAGGGUAUCCCCCCGCCACCUACAUUUCCGACCAACUGCCUGCGUAUUCUGGAGUUCCUACAAACACCUCAGGUUCAACAACUCACAGAAUUCAGGAAAACACUUUACCAUCAUCAGUGCAUUUAAUAUUGAAGCCACCAAGGAAGCAGGGACAAUUAUUUUCCUCGUUUUACAGAUGAAGAAAUUGAAACACAGAGAUAUAAGUUUUUCAAGUCCUUGAAAAGAGCCACCAUGAGAAUUGACAGAGGAAAGAAGAUGCUUCACUAGAUGGCAGCACCAAAUAUCCCUGAGUCAGAAGACAGAUCUGCUUGGUCAUCCAUUCGCUCACUCAUGGAGCCAUUAAGUGUUACUUUAGCAAACACCUUAGCAAA